CGGGAAGUAGCUCAGCUUGGUAGAGCACUUGGUUUGGGACCAAGGGGUCGCAGGNCUGUCUUCCCGA
rnacentral:tRNA from 1 species